CAAAACUGACCAAUCAAUUGAAUUUCCUGAUACAACAUACGUAACAUUUUGUCGCUACACAAGUGUACUAAAUCUGAAUUCGCACUAAUUAACUCAAUCUUGUUAUCUCUACUUUAUGGCCUAAAUCAGAUUGCAAUACUAACCAAAGAGUGUGCUAACUAACUCCGCACAAGAUAAAGUUGAGCAUUGCUCAGUGCGUUGAUUGCAUGGAGCAGAAUGAGCUCCAGUAGAGUGAAUUGGCAUCGGCGGUGACCACUCUACCGCAUGUAUGUGCUUCUGCAGAAAUGGCCAGAGUAGUGCAGGCAUCGUGAAAUCAUAAAUCCUGAUCC
rnacentral:lncRNA from 1 species